rnacentral:rRNA from 1 species
GACGAACGCUGGCGGCGUGCUUAACACAUGCAAGUCGAACGGAAAGGCCCUUCGGGGUGCUCGAGUGGCGAACGGGUGAGUAACACGUGGGUGAUCUGCCCUGCACUUUGGGAUAAGCCUGGGAAACUGGGUCUAGUACCGAAUAUGAUCAUCGGCUUCAUGGUCGGUGGUGGAAAGCUUUUGCGGUGUGGGAUGGGCCCGCGGCCUAUCAGCUUGUUGGUGGGGUAAUGGCCUACCAAGGCGACGACGGGUAGCCGGCCUGAGAGGGUGACCGGCCACACUGGGACUGAGAUACGGCCCAGACUCCUACGGGAGGCAGCAGUGGGGAAUAUUGCACAAUGGGCGCAAGCCUGAUGCAGCGACGCCGCGUGAGGGAUGACGGCCUUCGGGUUGUAAACCUCUUUCAGCACAGACGAAGCGCAAGUGACGGUAUGUGCAGAAGAAGGACCGGCCAACUACGUGCCAGCAGCCGCCGUAACAC